rnacentral:pre_miRNA from 1 species
CUGUGGCUUUGGACUNUGUGAUGACUCUUGGUGUGUGGUAGCUUUUCAGCAAGGUCCUCCUCAAAGUAGCCAUA